rnacentral:lncRNA from 1 species
CAGCCUUUUAAAGCCUCCUGCUGGUUGAUGGCCACACUGGUGUAUGCCAUCUGAGGGCACAGCUGAAGGUAUGUGGAGCUGUUGCAGAGCAGCACAGGGAGUGGGGGGACACUCCCCAGCUCAGGCUGGAGCAGUUCACAAGUUGGAUUUUGGUUUUAGAGGCCAUGGGCAAGGUGCAGUAAGUUGUAGGCUAGCCGCCUUCCAAGGUGCUGCCAUCAUUGCCACUACGGGAAGCAGCAGUGGUGCUACAAAUAAACCUUGUAAAAUGACAAGCUAGGUAAACGCUGGUGAGAUGGAGGUAAGUGUUAUGGAAAUAGAUCAGUUUUCUGCAGCUUCUCACAGGGGAAAGCUGAAAAAGCACUCUGGCCCCUGCAGAGAUCGUUUUAGCUCCUCUGUAUUCAGAACAGUGUUUCCAUGCUUACAGAUCAGAGAUUGCUUUGGGAUAUGGCAUGAUAUAUGCUGCCUAAGGCCUUGACAUCUGAGCUGAGUAUCUUGUUAUAGGUAAUUGGAUAUUUUAUUAUAGCUAAUUGCGUGACUGCUAAUCAAUAGAAGGUGUGCUCUGAAAAGACAAUGGAGGUCCUAAAGCUCCUUCUGAAUCCUCAAUACCCUACUCCUUUCUCAAAUGCCGUCAGUGAGCGACAUUGCCACUUUGAAAAAUAUCGCCCACUUACUUCCUCAGUGAGAAUUGAGAAUCACAUUCAUGCUUAUCUUCAGGGAUCAUGGACAAGGACAGCCUAAAGUUUCACCAGGGCAUGCUGCAUGAAAACAUGGCAAGAAGACAACCUUCCGUUUCACCUUUUGUAAAUGUCUAUUUGUACCUUGUUGGCAACGGAGCGCCUCCUAAGGCUCGACAUAUGGUAUCAUCUGAAGCACAAAAUAAAAAUAUUUCCCCCAUCUGUACUCCUACGUGGUUUUGCUUGCCAAUUUCCACACUCAUGAAGGCAGAUUAUUUUAAUCUUACAUUAAAAAAAAAAAGCCUCAAAACAGUGUUCCAAAUCUACUUUCAAUUCUGUUUAUACAAAGUAUUUGAUCAGAAGAAAUACUUCCAGAGAGAAUCACAUUUACUCUUGGGCUAUUAUCCAAGACAUCGUUAGGAUGAAUAGUCUCUAACAUGGAAUUAAAUGCAAUUAAUGCCUAUGGCAAGGUUCAUUUACAUUCCCAUGAAAUAAAGAAAUCAUUCCUCCUGUAAUAAACCUACUC